GAUGAACGCUGGCGGCGUGCCUAAUACAUGCAAGUCGAGCGAACGGACCAGGAGCUUGCUUUUCUGAUGUUAUCGGCGGACGGGUGAUUAACACGUGGAUAACCUACCUAUAAGACUGGGAUAACUUCGGGAAACCGGAGCUACUACCGGAUAAUAUUUUGACCCGCAUGGUUCAAAAGUGAAAGACGGUCUUUCUUUCGCUUAUAGAUUGAUCCGCGCUGCAUUAGUUAGUUGGUAAGGUAACGGCUUACCAAGGCAACGAUGCAUAGCCGACCUGAGAGGGUGAACGGACACACGGGAAGGGAGAAACAGCACAGACUCCGGCGGGAGGCAGCAGUAGGGAAUCUUACGCGAUGGGCGAAAGCCUGACGGAGCAACGCCGCGUGAGUGAUGAAGGUGUACGGACCGGAAAACGAUGUAAGUAGGGAAGAACAUAUGUGUAAGUAACUGUGCAGAUAUUGACGGUACCGAAUCAGAAAGCUACGGCUAACUACGUG
rnacentral:rRNA from 1 species